GGACGAACGCUGGCGGCACGCCUAACACAUGCAAGUCGAACGGAGAUUGAGAGCUUGCUCUUAAAUCUUAGUGGCGGACGGGUGAGUAACACGUGAGCAACCUGCCUCUGAGAGAGGGAUAGCUUCUGGAAACGGAUGGUAAUACCUCAUAACAUUACAUGACCGCAUGAUCGUGUAAUCAAAGAUUUAUCACUCAGAGAUGGGCUCGCGUCUGAUUAGCUAGUUGGUGAGGUAACGGCCCACCAAGGCGACGAUCAGUAGCCGGACUGAGAGGUUGAACGGCCACAUUGGGACUGAGACACGGCCCAGACUCCUACGGGAGGCAGCAGUGAGGGAUAUUGCACAAUGGAGGAAACUCUGAUGCAGCGAUGCCGCGUGGAGGAAGAAGGUUUUCGGAUUGUAAACUCCUGUUUCGAGGGACGAUAAUGACGGUACCUCGGGAGGAAGCUCCGGCUAACUACGUGCCAGCCGCAGC
rnacentral:rRNA from 1 species